AGAAGCAUCCUGAGUGUGAGUACAGCGAUAUUCAAAA
rnacentral:rRNA from 1 species